rnacentral:pre_miRNA from 1 species
GAUUUCAAUUGAAAAAGUCAUCAAUAACAAGGUUGUAUAACUCAUCAAGAUCUAUAACUUCUAUUUUAGUCAUUUCUUUAUCCAACAAAGUGAUUUGUAAGAUUGUUCACAAAAUGCACAUAUCUUAUAUAAGUUUUAUAUAAGAUAUGUGCAUUUUGUGAACAAUCUUACAAAUCACUUUGUUGGAUGAAGAAAUGACCAAAAUAGAAGUUAUAGAUCUUGAUGAGUUAUACAACCUUGUUAUUGAUGACUUUUUCAGUUGAAUUC